UCUUCAUCUAAAAUUAUAUUAUAAAUUAUAUGUUACAUUAAUUACAUAAAACAGUGAACUCUUUCCAUUUAUACAAUUACCACUCACUUUUGAACUAAUACGGUCAUCAGCAAAUACCGGAUUGUCUGCAUGCCAGUGAGAGCCCAUCGUUUGCUUGCUACAAGACCACACACCGCUUCAGAUGCUUGACUCUUAUGGUUUCUUACUACAUGAGCUUCAUCAAGCACAACCCUCUUCCACUUAAUCUGCAAGACAAUUUUAAGAAGAGUUUGUCGAUUGCUCCCGUGAUAAACUUGCACGGACAAUAAACCUCGUUUGCAUUUACUAUGUACUUCAUUCUCCCACUGCGACAAUAAGGAUGCAGGACAUACCACUAAAGUUCCACCUUUGUAACCUGUGAAUCAUAAUGACAUCUCACAUAAUGAUUUCUAUAUGUUUAUUACAUCAAAUACAUUUAUGUCAUAGUUGUUAUAAUUAAUAUUAUAAUAUUCAUAUAUUUUAAAAAGCUUAAAGCUUAAAGCUAAGAAAAGAAAGCAAAUAUUGAGAAAAAUAAGAGAAUAUAGAAAAACAA